GGAGGGACAGUCCAGGGAACAGCUUGCAAACAGGGCCCAGAGAUCUCCAGUUACCACCUUCUCCCUGCAGGAGAAGUCUUUACCGCCGACUAUCACAGCAAUGGAGUUUUGCCAGCUGCUUAAAAUCACACUCUAAUAGCCUGGCUUUGUCCUUCUGGCUUUGAAAACUGAAAAUGUUGACUUUAAACUUGGACGUGGGUGGUGCGAAUUAGAAGGGACUUCACGGUGCAAAUCAAACGCAAAGCUGGAGUUUAUUUCAUCCCCCACAGAUACCCACAGGGGAUGUCAGAGAACUAAGCAAAGCCAACAGACCAGCACAGUAAUUCUCUCUGCAAGAAGUACCAAGUGAAACCUCCACCCUUGUCACAGACAAACACACACCUACUGCUCUACCAAAAUAAGUACAGCGUGAUCCAGAGCUCAAAUCUGGUGACAGUCAGGAUAUAUUGUAAGAAGCAGCUGCUGAACUGCAGCAUAGAAGCCUGAGGAGAUGCUCCUGGUGAUGAAGAGGCCCAAAGAAAUCAUUUUCUUUCUCCUUUUUAGAUGAUUCUGCUUAUACAGCUAAAUCUUCUGCCUCUUGAUCCUGCGCUCAAGAUUACCAACUCAUCAAACCUGCUGUCCUCAGCUGUGGCCACCACAUAACACUGAGAUAAAACCUAUCAAGAAAUCCAGCCAGACUGGAGGAUGCCCACAGAAUCACAGGAAACUCCCCAGGAACCCUGCUUUACCCCUGAGAUCUUACAGAAGGAGACCGGAGUAUCAGUCUGCAUCUGAAAGGACCACACUCAUCAGCCAGGUUGCCAGACCUCCUAUACAACCUUAAUGAAUAAUUGGUCCUGUGUCCUGUCUGAAGAGCGAUGAGGU